AUAAUAAUAAUGCCUCUUAUAAGGCACAGACAAGCUGAAUUAUUUGAAUACGGUUUUGACCAACCACCAUGCAGCUUAAACAUCACGGUUCGCCGGGCGCACCGAUAUUACUAGCAAAGAUCCUGCCUUUAUUUCAACCAAUUAGCUUGUGG